UAAAAUUAAUGAAUUAUUUACAACUCUUGAAUUCUAUCAAAUAUAGUAAAAACAUAUUUUUACUUUAUUUACAUACCUAUUAGUACCAUAUAAAAUGACGAGGAGGUUCAAAACAUAUUUUUACUUUGUUUGCUUUGCCUUUUUCUAAUUAAUUUAUCUAAAAUCAUCUUAAUCAACAUAAUUGAGAUACAUGGAAUAAAUAAAUUACAUUUAUGAUCGUUAAAAUGUAUCCAAAUAAUGAUUAUAUAUUUUCUAACUAAAAUUUAGAUAAGAGACUACUAAUACAAAUUAAUCAUAUACUUAAUAAUAUAUAAAAAAAAUGUCACAAUGCAUUACAUAAAUUUAUAGAUAUCUAAAUAUCACAUCUGAAUACUAAAUUAAAAAAUAUUAAAAUCGCAAAACUAUUUUCAAAGAGGAUACAGACCUUUCGGCUUGAUGCUUGAGGUUAACAUUAGGAGUCCAAUCUCUUAAUUACUUGGGCCAAAAUUGGACUUUAAAUGAUUUUAAUUUUUCCUUCUACUUUUUUCUUGUCUUCCGCUCCAAUACAAAAGCCCAACAUCCCUUUAAUUUUGGAAUCGUUCCUUUCACCUUUCUCAAUUCAGAUUAGCAGCCGUCCCAUUCCUUCUUUCUUUUCACUUUCCCUUUCUUUUUUUUUUUCCUCCUUCCCUCUCUGCAAAUCGAUCCUCCUUCCCUCUCUGCAAAUCGAUGUUUCUGCAAACCGAUGAAGAAAUUGAAGAUGCUCCCUCUCUGCAAACCUCCUUUCGUUCUUUGUCUGCGCUUUCCCUUAGGUUCUUUUUUCUCUUCCCUCUCUGCAAAAUCGAUGUUCCCUCUUUGCAAACUUCUCUCUUUGUAAACCGAUGAAGUGUGAAGAAAUUGAAGAUGUUCCCUCUCUGCAAACCAAUGAAAAUUGAUGGUGUAAGCAGUGAAAAUUCCUCUGUUCAAUUUUUGGUUCAAUUUCCUCUGCUCAAUUCUGUUCACGAGUUGCCGACUCGACUCCGAGUCGUAUCCGAGGAUUUGGCCGACAACUUCUUACACCGUUUUGACUCAGCCAAUAACGUCCGAGUCUGCACGAUUCACAUCUGGUAUGGUCAUACCGGCGAUUCGAGGAUCAGUAUCGUACCGGUCCCGGCGUUCCGGUUAUGACUCGGCCGAGUCGUACCGGACUCGGCCGAGUUGGCGAACCCUGCUUGUGAGGCGGUGCAACUGUUCAAAGGUGGUCUGUUCUCAUGAAAAAGUACCCAGAAAUUCAUAGGGAUUAUAAACUUAAAAAUAGUCUACAGCAAGCAUAUUAUCUCUCAUUCCAGCUUUGAGCUCAUCACAAUAUGUAUGUUUGUUUUGCCAACGUAAUAAAAUUUCCCCGUGUACUCUUCAGCAUAAGC